AUUGAACGCUGGCGGCAGGCCUAACACAUGCAAGUCGAACGGUAACAGGAAACAGCUUGCUGUUUCGCUGACGAGUGGCGGACGGGUGAGUAAUGUCUGGGAAACUGCCUGAUGGAGGGGGAUAACUACUGGAAACGGUAGCUAAUACCGCAUAACGUCGCAAGACCAAAGAGGGGGACCCUCGGGCCUCUUGCCAUCGGAUGUGCCCAGAUGGGAUUAGCUUGUUGGUGGUGGAACGGCUCAACAAGGGUACGAUCGCUAGCUGAUCUGAGGGUAGGACCAGCCACACUGGAACUGAGACACGGUCAAGACGCCUGCGGGAGGCAGCAGUGGCGAAUAUUGCACAGUGGGCGCAAGCCUGAUGCAGCCAUGCCGCGUGUAAGAAGAAGGCCUUCGGGUUGGAAAGUACUUUUAGCGGGGAGGAAGCGAGUAAGCCUAAUACCUUGGCUCAUUGACGUUAAUCGGAAAAGAAGCACCGGCUAACUCCGUG
rnacentral:rRNA from 1 species